rnacentral:lncRNA from 1 species
UUAAGGCAACUCAGAACUCUCAUUCGCGUUAACGCGAAUCGGCUCAAUUAAGCAGUGAGUCAGCUUUUCGAUAAGACGGCAAGUGGAUGGGCCAUUGAAUGCAAAUCGAUCAUUCGAGUCGCGUGAGACAAGAAGAUUAAGGCGAUUGACGGCGGCUUGCUGACAAGGAUUCAGCGGUUCGUGUGAGUUUCAAGGAUGCUACCAUGGAACCUUCCAGCCCGUGACAUCCUCCAAGUACGCUCUUGCCGUUAGCAGUGCUUUUUC